rnacentral:rRNA from 1 species
GAACCGGACGAACGUUAUUCGGAAUCACUGGGCUUAAAGAGUGCGUAGGCGGCCUGGCAGGUUGGGUGUGAAAUCCCUCGGCUCAACCAGGAACUGCGCUCUAAAACCGCCAGGCUUGAGGGAGAUAGAGGUGAGCGGAACUGAUGGUGGAGCGGUGAAAUGCGUUGAUAUCAUCAGGAACACCUGUGGCGAAAGCGGCUCACUGGGUCUCUUCUGACGCUGAGGCACGAAAGCUAGGGUAGCGAACAGGAUUAGAUACCCUGGUAGUCCUAGCUGUAAACGAUGAGCACUGGAUCGAGGGGACUUCCACAUCUUCUUGGUCGUAGCGAAAGUGUUAAGUGCUCCGCCUGGGGAGUAUGGUCGCAAAGGCUG